rnacentral:rRNA from 1 species
CCGCGGUAAUACGGAGGGUGCAAGCGUUAAUCGGAAUUACUGGGCGUAAAGCGCACGCAGGCGGUUUGUUAAGUCAGAUGUGAAAUCCCCGGGCUCAACCUGGGAACUGCAUCUGAUACUGGCAAGCUUGAGUCUCGUAGAGGGGGGUAGAAUUCCAGGUGUAGCGGUGAAAUGCGUAGAGAUCUGGAGGAAUACCGGUGGCGAAGGCGGCCCCCUGGACGAAGACUGACGCUCAGGUGCGAAAGCGUGGGGAGCAAACAGGAUUAGAUACCCUGGUAGUCCACGCCGUAAACGAUGUCGACUUGGAGGUUGUGCCCUUGAGGCGUGGCUUCCGGAGCUAACGCGUUAAGUCGACCGCCUGGGGAGUACGGCCGCAAGGUUAAAACUCAAAUGAAUUGACGGGGGCCCGCACAAGCGGUGGAGCAUGUGGUUUAAUUCGAUGCAACGCGAAGAACCUUACCUGGUCUUGACAUCCACAGAACUUUCCAGAGAUGGAUUGGUGCCUUCGGGAAC